rnacentral:lncRNA from 1 species
AAGCUUUAUAUUACAAGCCAGGGGCUUCGAGGUCUCGAAUACAUAAGACCGAAUACACAAGAGUCAGCGGAAGCAACAAUAUCUGAGUACAGACAUAAGUUAGACAAGCAUGCCUUAAGAAGGCCAGCACAAAGCAUCUACGAUCGAAAAGGCAAGGCCUCCUGCCUGGGAGUCUCCUAACUACUCCUGGUCGUUGGCGGUCUUCACGUAGAAGUAGGCAUCAACGGUGGCAUCUGGCUCCUGGGCUCCGACAUCUGGUUGCAGCAACCGAAAAGAAGAAGAAAGGGGGGAAAGGGGUAGCAAAGCAACCGUGAGUACUCAUCCAAAGUACUGGCAAGCAAGGAUCUACACUACAUAUGCAACAUUGUCAAAGGAAGGCUGAAUAUGUGUACUGGGCUGCAGAAAUGCCAAAAUAGAGGGGAGAACCUAGCCCUAUCGAAGACUAGCAUCUUCUGGAAACCACCAUCUUGUAGCAACAGGAGGGAGUAGAGUAGCAUAAAGUAAAAUAGUAGAAGUGUUAUCAACGUCGGCCAAAGAUCCUUUCUCGACUCCCUGCGAGAAAGCAAUCCCAGUCGUACUAUCCAGUUAUCAUCACAAUCCAUUUCUCAUAUCCAUUUCUCAUCUCAGGUAUCCAGUUCUAGUUGUAUCGAUCGGGAUACAAGUCCAAGUGUCCGUUACCGUAGGACAGGCUAUCGAUAGAUGUUUUCUUCCCUGCAGGGGUGCACCAACUUACCCACCACGCUCGAUUAACUCCGGCUGGACACAUUUUCCUGGGUCAUGCCCGGCCUCGGCCAAACAAUACGCCGCAACCCGACCUAGGCUUAAUAGAGAGGUCAGCACGCUGGACUAAACCUAUGCCCCCAGGAGUCAUGGGCCAUCUCCCCGGAAACUCCUGCACGUUGCGUGGGCAGCCGGUGAGUAGACCUAGCUACCUCCUUCAACAAGGCAGGAGCUUACGUAGUCCAACCCAGCACGCGCCGCUUAGUCACUAACGUCUAUUAAGCUUUGGCUGAUGUAUACGACGCAGAACGCCCAUACAAUGCCCACGUGAUGGUUAGUGCUAUCAGGCCAGAGGCCCCUCGGAUCAAAUAUCCAAACCAUAGUGGAUUAGGAGCACGCGGUAACUAGCAGAGACUCACGAUCGAUGUGACCCUGUCGCCCCGUCUCGAGUACUUGCGGCAAGGGCUAAGAAUGCCCGGCCAAACCUCGUAGUUAUCUCGCGGGCACCCUCCAGGUCAACCUGUCUCCACAUCACUCGCUAUUAAGCUCACGCGGGUACCCCUCAGGGCCUACCCGUCUUUAGUAACAUGGUUCAGUGUAAAGACAUAGUAACCAUAGUAACUGCGUGUCUGACACCAAGGGGAAAAACCGAGGAAUCACCCGCAAUGAAUUCCACUCGAUGUUAUCAUCAAGGUGAACAUAAGAGGAUCCACCCUCGAGGUUCACACUUGAGGGGUUGCACGACAGAGCCGUAACGGAAGAGGUUAAGGAGGAAAUCACCCUCGAUGACCUCGACCGUAUAGCUACACUAUAGAGAUCUCAUCAGGAGUGAUGUAAGAGUUUCCACCCUCGCACUCGAUGGUAACUCUACAGAGUCGUACAACUAGGGGGUGAUGUGUGGUGUCGGGGCCUAGUCUUCGAUCCCGUUGAUCGGGUCUUCAAUGAUGAAGCAGGGGCAACAAGGUCAAGGUGGGGGUCACUGAUGGAUCACUAACCAACCUAUACUAAGCAGUUUAGGAUAAGCAGGUAGGUAACAAUAAGCAGGUUACAAAAGUAGGCUAUGCAUCAGAAUAGGAGCAAACAAUAAUAGUAUCAAAAUCUAAUGCAAGCAUGAGAGAAUGGAAUGGGCGAUAUCGGGAUGAUCAAAGGCGGGGCUUGCCUGGUUGCUCUGGCAAGGAGGGGUCGUCGUCGACGUAGUCGAUCACAGGGGCAGCAUCAGUCUCGGGGUCUACCGGAGAGAAGAUGGGGAAGAAACAAUACAAAUAAAGCAAACAAAGCAUCAUAAAGCAUAACAUGGAAAUACGCGGUGUUAGGGGUGAACUAACGCAGUGCUAGGUGAUACAGACGAAGAGGGAAAACAUCCGGGAAUGUUUUCCCAACGUUUGACAUUUUUUGGACAGAUGCAAGAGAGGGGACGGUUCCAUGUUCAGCAUGUUAGGGGCACCUGACACAUAAACGGACUGCAUAUUUAGAUUUGUCUCGUCGUUCUAAGCAACUUUCAUGUAGAAAGUUUUUCGAUCCGAGCUAUGGUUUAAUUUAUAUGAUUUUCUCAAGUUUUAAUCAAUAUUUUAGAAUUAUUAUAAAUCCAAAUUAAAAACAGAAUAUACUUUUGUCACCUAGUGCUAUCCUAGCCACCAGUGUAUGACUAACUAUCAGUGGGUGUCUUGUGCUAGGCUUAGAGCUGAACAACAAUUAGGCCCCUAAUCUAAUUUGGGAUGGCCGUCCAUUGUGUGGUUGUGCAUCACACACAAGCACACGCACGCACAUGGCCAUGGCCCAUGGCCAUGGCGUGGCCAGGAUGCAUAGCAGCAGCUAGCAGCGGCCACAGGGAAAAGUAGCAGCGGCUAGGAGCAUCAGUAAGCAGCGGCGGCGCUAGAGGCAGCGACGGUGCUAGAGGCAAGCAACGGGAGAGUAGUAGCAGCAAGCAGAGCAGCCCCUAUUGGCCUCAGCAAGCAGCGACAGCAGCUAGGCGCGGCACGGCGCAUGCACGCACGAGCAUCAGCGGGCGGACGGGCACGCGCGCGCACGGGAGACAACAGGCACGCGCGAAUGCGGCCUGGCGCGCACAGCGGGGCACAGCCGCAACGUCGAGCGCGCCGGCGGUCGGAGCAGAGCUCGAGGAACUCCUCGCCUCAUGAUGGGUUCGAGGCAACGAAACAUGCAGGCAGCACCUACGGGUCACCAGGAGCUCAUUGGCGCGAUGCAAAUGAGCAGAGAAGCUUAGGAGCGUGGAGCUAUUCGGCCAUGGCGGCGGCCGGAGCACGGAGCUCGUGGAACGGCGGCCAGAGGACGGGAGCGACGCCUAGAGGAAAAGGGGAUCAACACGGAGCUCACUUUGAUGCUCGAAGAAGGCUCGAGGGUGCCGGGGACGGUCGGAGCGAGUAGAUCGACGCAGCGGCCGAGGAGGACGCCGACGAAGGGAACGGACGCGGG